CCUGAAAUAGGAGGGAGUGGUGAGAAGGGCUACCAAAGGGAGCUUAGGUGACCUCUCAACUUCCCCCUGGUUUUAAAACUUCUCCCCUACCCACUUAUCUGCAGGCCAGUUCCUGUGCAGGCCCCGGAUCACCUCCCAGGGACACCAUUCUGCACUCCUGGCCAAGUCCAGCCCCCUCAGAUGUUGCCAGAGCCACCCAUCCAGUUGCCUUCCUGCCAAGCAACUGGGCAGGGCCCACGUGUGCAGCAGCAGAGACCCCCUCCGGGAGCAGGGGAGGAGGACACUCACCCGGAAGGUGGCACACCACGGGGAUGCCCAGCUUCUUGAGGUCGUCUGCGUUGCCGACGCCAGAAAGCAUGAGCAGCUGCGGGGAGUUGAUGGCACCUCCGCUCAGAAUCACCUCCUUGCUGGCGUAAGCCUGGAAGAGGCAGCGGGCCCGGCAGGUCACACUCCCCUCCCAAAGGCAGACAGACAGAGAACGUGGCCUCGGCGUGGGAGUGGGGAGGAGGAUGCCCAGGGUGCUGUGUGAAAGCUCCCCAUAUGCUCGGCUAUCGCGUGCGCUCAUAAAUAAAUCACGAUUACACUCUG